rnacentral:tRNA from 1 species
GGCUCCGUGGUGAAAAGCACGUCAGAUUGCAAACCUGAAGGUGUAGGCUUGACAGCCUGCCGGGGCCU